AUCGCUUCUCGGCCUUUUGGCUAAGAUCAAGUGUAGUAUCUGUUCUUAUCAGUUUAAUAUCUGAUACGUCCCCUACCCGUGGACCAUAUGUUAAAUUGGCUGUUGGACCAGGGAGAUGGAAUAGGGGCUUGCUCCGUCCGCUCCAAGCAUCAACCUGGUAUUGCAGUACUUCCAGGAAUGGUGCACCCCCU
ensembl:snRNA U2 U2 spliceosomal RNA